CGAGUGGCGGACGGGUGAGUAAUGUCUGGGAAACUGCCCGAUGGAGGGGGAUAACUACUGGAAACGGUAGCUAAUACCGCAUAACGUCGCAAGACCAAAGCGGGGGACCUCCGGGCCUCGCGCCAUCAGAUGAACCCAUAUGGGAUUAGCUUGUAGGUAAGGUAACGGCUUACCUAGGCGACGAUCCCUAGCUGGUCUGAGAGGAUGAUCAGCCACACUGGGACUGAGACACGGCCCAG
rnacentral:rRNA from 1 species